AGAGUUUGAUCAUGGCUCAGGAUGAACGCUAGCGGCAGGCCUAAUACAUGCAAGUCGAACGGUAACAUUGGUGCUUGCACCAGAUGACGAGUGGCGCACGGGUGCGUAACGCGUAUGCAAUCUACCUUUUACUAGAGUAUAGCCCAGAGAAAUUUGGAUUAAUCCUCUAUAAUAUCUUUUAAUUUCAUGAUUUUAAGAUUAAAGUUUUAACGGUAAAAGAUGAGCAUGCGUCCUAUUAGUUUGUAGGUGAGGUAACGGCUCACCUAGACUACGAUAGGUAGGGGCCCUGAGAGGGGGAUCCCCCACACUGGUACUGAGACACGGACCAGACUCCUACGGGAGGCAGCAGUAAGGAAUAUUGGACAAUGGACGAAAGUCUGAUCCAGCCAUGCCGCGUGCAGGAUGAAAGCCCUACGGGUUGUAAACUGCUUUUAUACAGGAAGAAACACUCCGACGUGUCGGAGCUUGACGGUACUGUAAGAAUAAGGAUCGGCUAACUCCGUGCCAGCAGCCGCGGUAAUACGGAGGAUCCAAGCGUUAUCCGGAAUCAUUGGGUUUAAAGGGUCCGCAGGCUGUUUUUUAAGUCAGAGGUGAAAUCCUACAGCUCAACUGUAGAACUGCCUUUGAUACUGAAAAACUUGAGUUAUUGUGAAGUGGUUAGAAUGUGUGGUGUAGCGGUGAAAUGCAUAGAUAUCACACAGAAUACCGAUUGCGAAGGCAGAUCACUAACAAUAUACUGACGCUCAUGGACGAAAGCGUGGGGAGCGAACAGGAUUAGAUACCCUGGUAGUCCACGCCGUAAACGAUGGAUACUAGCUGUUCGUCUAACAUUGGUUAGAUGAGUGGCUAAGCGAAAGUGAUAAGUAUCCCACCUGGGGAGUACGGUCGCAAGACUGAAACUCAAAGGAAUUGACGGGGGCCCGCACAAGCGGUGGAGCAUGUGGUUUAAUUCGAUGAUACGCGAGGAACCUUACCAGGGCUUAAAUGUAGUGGGACAGGUCUAGAGAUAGACCCUUCUUCGAACUCAUUACAAGGUGCUGCAUGGUUGUCGUCAGCUCGUGCCGUGAGGUGUCAGGUUAAGUCCUAUAACGAGCGCAACCCCUAUCGUUAGUUGCCAGCGAGUAAUGUCGGGAACUCUAAGGAGACUGCCGGUGAUAAACCGGAGGAAGGCGGGGACGACGUCAAGUCAUCAUGGCCCUUACGACCAGGGCUACACACGUGCUACAAUGGGAAGGACAAAGAGCCGCGAAGCCGCGAGGUGUAGCUAAUCUCAUAAACCUUUUCGUAGUCCGGAUUGGAGUCUGCAACUCGACUCCAUGAAGUCGGAAUCGCUAGUAAUCGUAGAUCAGAAUGCUACGGUGAAUACGUUCCCGGGUCUUGUACACACCGCCCGUCAUACCCAUGGGAGUGGGUUGCACCAGAAGUGGCUAGUCUAACUUUAUUGAGGACGGUCACCACGGUGUGAUUCAUGACCUCGGGGUAAAGUCGUAACCAAGGUA
rnacentral:rRNA from 1 species